rnacentral:rRNA from 1 species
AGUGAACGCUGGCGGUAGGCCUAACACAUGCAAGUCGAACGGCAGCACAGUAAGAGCUUGCUCUUACGGGUGGCGAGUGGCGGACGGGUGAGGAAUACAUCGGAAUCUACUUUUUCGUGGGGGAUAACGUAGGGAAACUUACGCUAAUACCGCAUACGACCUACGGGUGAAAGCAGGGGAUCUUCGGACCUUGCGCGAUUGAAUGAGCCGAUGUCGGAUUAGCUGGUUGGCGGGGUAAAGGCCCACCAAGGCGACGAUCCGUAGCUGGUCUGAGAGGCUGAUCAGCCACACUGGAACUGAGACACGGUCCAGACUCCUACGGGAGGCAGCAGUGGGGAAUAUUGGACAAUGGGCGCAAGCCUGAUCCAGCCAUACCGCGUGGGUGAAGAAGGCCUUCGGGUUGUAAAGCCCUUUUGUUGGGAAAGAAAAGCAGCAGGUUAAUACCCCGCUGUUCUGACGGUACCCAAAGAAUAAGCACCGGCUAACUUCGUG